rnacentral:rRNA from 1 species
UGCCAGCANHMGCGGUUACACAAUACCCCUUGAGUAUUGUAAAUAGGUUAUAUAGAAAAAAUUAAUAAAGAAUUUUACACAUUUAAAAAUUAAGUUAAAUUUUUAAUUUAAAUUGACUCUGCAAUUCUAAAAAUUUACUCUAUGAAAGUUACCCUUUUCAUAAGACCGGGAUUAGAUACCCCGUUACUAAUAACACUAAACCAAAAAAUACCAGGGUAUAACGAACAUUAUGUAAGUUUAAAACCCAAAGAGCUUGGCGGUUCUAUAAAAAAUUAGGGGGGCUUGGCUAUUAAUCCGAUAAUCCCCGUUAAAUCUCACCUAAAAAUUAUGCCCGAAAUAUACCGGGCAUAAGCCCUAGCUAUAAACAGUUGUAUACCCCCGUCUAAGUUUACAAUGCGAAUUAAAAAAAGUUUGCGAGAGAAUAAAAAAAAUUAUCACCUCCUAAGUCAGGUCGAGGUGCACCCAAUGGGAAGGCUUACGCUUAGUUACAUUAUAAAAAUUAAUAGAAAUAUAAAAGAAAUUUUAUAAAGAAAAAGGACUUAAUAGUAAUAAAAUUUUAAAAUAAUUUUGUGAAAAAUACAUAUAGAGCGUACAAAUCGCCCGUCAAUCCUGCUGAGAAACGAAACUAGGAWAAGUCGUAACAHAGUA